GGGCGGUUUCAUUGGUUAUGCAUGAGUACUCAUGUAUGAUUUUUUUGACAUGAGUAAUGCAUACAAUUUGUUUAAAAGAAAGCAAGCAUUUGAUGCAUAGCUACAAUUCCAUUUAUCAGAAUUAUUUGUGGAAAAGAUAUUAAAUAAUAUUCUCCAUUCAGUCUCAUGUGAUUUUUCCCCCUUUCCCCAAUUCUUUUAAAGUGAUAAUGAAUAUAUUUAUUCUGUAAAAAGGAUAGUCAUAGAAAAAUUAAAAUUGAGAUG
rnacentral:lncRNA from 1 species